AUUUAAUUAUAUAUGUAAUAGUUACUGAGUUUUAAUUGUUUAAUAUAUAUUUAUUGUUUUAUAAUAUAUUAUAUAUAAAGAUAUAACUUCUCAAAAUUAAUUCACUGAUAACAUUUUUUUACGCAUGUAUAUAUUUGAUUAAUUCAAACUUGGAUAUCAUAUGUCUAAACUUGGAUAAAUAUUGUACAUGUUUUUAUUGAGCUUUUUUAUUUCAACCUAAAUUUAAUGGGUCUCUGCGUUUUGACCUUCUUGUCCAACAAUGGUCGACAUCUUAUCUUCUUAAUUGACUGUUUAAUAUUAAAAAAAACAUAAUUUAUGUUAAUUAAAAAAAAGACAGAGCUGAUUACUUUUGAGAAGCUUGUCGGUGGAAGAUGAAUCGAGUAACCUUCAUUGAUGGUCUUUCAAAACCGAGAUGUAUUAGUUGACAUAGCUCCUGAAAAUAACCCGGGUUCUGAAAGUAAUCAGCUCAAAUCCAUUUAACUAACUUGAGAGUGCGACUUCUACAAAAAGAUGUUCUUAUGAGAUGUUUAUUGGAGAAGAGCUUCCACUCAAUAAGCUGGAACACAAUUUUUUUCUAAUCUAGAGAAAAAUAGCAAUAAUCUAAACCAUCUGGUAAUUCCCCUAACAUUGGUUUCGUCUUAAAUGUGAAGAGGAUGAUGUCUAAUGUCUUUAGGUUUGAGUUUACAUUUUGUUUUACUUUUAGAAUUUCAUUACCGUAGUAAGUAGUAAGUUAAUUGUAAACUGGGUUUAUCAACCCAGUUCGCUAAACUUGGUUUAUAAAACUUAGAUUUCAUUAGUGACCAUGAUUCUUUGAAAUUAAUAUACCUUGUCUGUGAUGGUGGGAUCAUCAUCGAUUUCUGUUAAUAGCACUAUACUUUGCUCA